GUGGAAUGCGUAGAUAUCUGGAAGAACACCAGUUGCGAAGGCGGUCUCGUGGACCAAUACUGACGCUGAUGCUCGAAAGCUGGGGGAGCGAACAGGAUUAGAUACCCUGGUAGUCCCAGCCGUAAACGAUGGACACUAGCUGCCGGAGGAGUCAAUCCCUUCGGUGACGAAGCUAACGCAUUAAGUGUCCCGCCUGGGGAGUACGCUCGCAAGGGUGAAACUCAAAGGAAUUGACGGGGGCCCGCACAAGCGGUGGAGCAUGUGCUUUAAUUCGAUGCAACGCGAAGAACCUUACCUGGGUUUGACAUGGGGGUGAAAGUUUCCAGAGAUGGAAGCCUUUCCUUCGGGAACACCCCACACAGGUGCUGCAUGGUUGUCGUCAGCUCGUGUCGUGAGAUGUUGGGUUAAGUCCCGCAACGAGCGCAACCCCUGCCCUUAGUUGCCAUCAGGUAAAGCUGGGAACUCUAAGGGGACAGCUUGGUAUAACCAGGAGGAAGGUGGGGAUGACGUCAAAUCAUCAUGGCUCUUACGCCCAGGGCUAGACACGUGCUCACAAUGGCAGGUACAGUGGGAUGCCAGCCUGCGAAGGUGAGCUAAUCCCUUAAAACCUGUCUCAGUCCGGAUU
rnacentral:rRNA from 1 species